UACGGAUGAGGUCAGUAAAAUUUUAACCCCUAAGAAAAAAAGAUCAAAGUGCCGACACAAAACACCCCUCGGAAAUUUGGAAAUUUUCCCCUUACCCCUCAGAAAAAUCGCAGAGAUCAAAGGAUGCCGACAGGCUUAACCCCUCAGAAACGACUUUUUGAGUCACCCUUCAGAAAAGCUCAUCCGUAGGGGGGGUGUGGACAUUAAAUGGAAUGGC